rnacentral:rRNA from 1 species
CUGGGGGAGUACGACCGCAAGGUUGAAACUCAAAGGAAUUGACGGGGGCCCGCACAAGCGGAGGAACAUGUGGUUUAAUUCGAUGAUACGCGAGGAACCUUACCUAGACUUGAACGUAUUUGGACAGAUCCAGAGAUGGAUUCUUCUUUCGGGACCAUUUACGAGGUGCUGCAUGGUCGUCGUCAGCUCGUGCCGUGAGGUGUCGGGUUAAGUCCCAUAACGAGCGCAACCCUUGCCAAUAGUUGCCAGCGAGUAAUGUCGGGGACUCUAUUGGGACUGCCGGUGUAAACCGUGAGGAAGGUGGGGAUGACGUCAAAUCAGCACGGCCCUUACGUCUAGGGCGACACACGUGUUACAAUGGCCAGUACAGAGGGUCGCUACUAAGUG